rnacentral:lncRNA from 1 species
UCGUCCGAAAUUGAUCUCGACAACGAUGCACUUUCCCUUUUGGUAAAAAUUACCGGUCGGUAAUUUUUCAACGCGCGACAAGUGGGAUCCGCCAACGCGCUUGCACACGACGCGUGCACACGUAUAUGCACAGGUGGCCUUCCAUUGGCCCGCUUCCCGGAGACAUUUUCAUCUGCGGUGAACAGCGAAGAUCGUUGACCGUUACAGGGAGAUACCGAUUAAAAAGUGAACGAACGUGAGGAGGGAGGGAGAAGGACGGAGAGACGUGGAAGAGGCGAAGGAGGGAGAGAGAGAGAGAGAGAGAGAGAGAAAGAGAAAGGUAACGCAACGUAAUGGAAAUGUGGAUAUGCGGUUGGCGCGUGCGCCUGCAGUAGGGCAGGGCAAGACGACAGCUGUUUCAGUCCUGAGGCAACAUCAGUGUUGCACCUGCCUACUUGCUUGCUUGCUUGCUUGCCUGCCUGCUUGCCUGCCUGCUUGCUUGCUUGCUUGCUUCCUCGCUUGUCUGACUGCUUGCCCGCUUGCCUGCCUGCCCGCCUGCUAGCUCGCUCGCUUCCUUGCUACCUCGCUCGCCUGCUUGCCACAUAACCUAUAACCACUUUUAGCAGACUCUUCGUCUCUUAUUAGGUUCACUGAUCUCCUCCAUUUCUUUCCUUCUCUUCUUCUUUGCUUUAAUAGCGUUUGAAAAGAGGGAGAUGUGGAUGAGAGAUUGUGCGGACGGAUUGCUCUUUUUCUUUCUUUUUUCGAACGGUCCAUGGAUGGUGGUUUUUUUGGGUUUGAAGUUGCGGAGACUGAAGUGGUUUCUUGGAUCGUGAUCGAGGCAGGGAGGAAGAAAGAAGAUACUCGAUUGAGACACGAUUUUGAAAUUCAAGAAUUCUUUAGGAUUCUUUUCUUCGGUUAUUCCUUUAAACGGAGAUUUAUAAGUGAAAUUGCAAGACGUUUGAAGAGGUUUGUGGAAUCUCUUUCUGCUCGAAAUUAGGCUCGUGAUCCUCCAAUUAUACCGCGGCUCAUAGACCGUAUAUAAUUUGAAAUAGCCGGCAUGCUUCGGAUACACGUUUCGGGCGUAAUAAAUUUCGUCCAGUUGGGUGACGCCUAAUGUAUCGGACGUAUCGGCGCCCGCAUAAGCAAGCGUGGCACGCGUCACGACGCCUCGUCGCCGAUAAACAAGGCGCUGGAAACCAAAGAAGAAUUUUUAUAUCCCUCUUCGAAAGAUGAGAUGUCUGUUCGCCGAGAGAAAAUAAGCAAAGUUGUCGAUGUCCGUCUUUGGCAUUACCUGUUCCACUUUUUGGAACAGUUUUCAUCUCACUUUGUUUAGAAUUGGAUUUAUUUUUAUUAUUCGAAUGAAAUGAAAUUUAUGAUCUGGUGCAAAUUAAUAAUAAUAAUAAUAAUCUAUAAAACUUUUUUGGUUUCAAAAAAAAAGAAAGAUCAAAGUGUUUAAAAAGUAAUGGUUUUCUUUAAGACCAUGCUUGAAUUAAACGAAAUGCAAAUUAUUAAUGAUAAUAAUAAUAUUAUCAUGGAAUGAAAAAGAAGGAAAGAUUGGAAUGGAAAUUUGAACGAUUGAUCUGAUUUCACAGCGUUCGAGUCUAUGAAGGUAUCGAUCGUGCAUAUCGAUCGAUAGAUCCCAAUUCAUGUGGCAAUAAGAGUGGCGACUUAGAAGGCAAUCGCUGUCACUGCAGGCCUACUUCAUGACGGAAGUUUCUUGGCCAAUCAAUCCGUCGAUUCUUGGUCAACAGGUCACUCGGAUCAAAUGGAAGAGAAAAUUAAUGUUGCCCACCAACAUGGAAUGGCCUCUGCUUUUCGUUUACUCCCCCGACGAAUCAUCCUUCGAUUCGAUUUAAAAUACCAGAAAUUGUAUUCAAAAUUACGUCACUUUUCCCCAAUUUCUCUCUCCCCUCUUCUCUCAAACUUGAAAUAUUCCAUCUAGCAUUUUUCCAUUCCCUUAAUAAUAAAGAUAGAUUAAAAUUCUACGUGUCUAUAAAUUCAAUAAAUUUUAGGGAGUUUUAAUUUCAAAGAAAUUGAUUUUUCAUCUCUCUGAAAGGAAAAAAACAAUAAUUUCUACUUUCAACAAAUCAACAACGAAAUUGUCGGGCAAAAUUCUUCGCUUCCCCUUAAUCCAAAAUCUACAGACGAGUUUAUCGAAUGGGAGAAGUUGUCGUCGUACUACUCGCGAUCGAAGUCACGCUAAAAAUCACGUUUAAUUCGCACCUUCGUUGCUUAUUAAAUCCCGAUCUAAUCGCACAGAUUACGAUAACAAAUUUUAAGUAAGAAUUUUCUCGUAUUAUCGUCCAGAUGUGUCGUACAGGCUUGGUGUUUAGACCUAACUAUAACGGCUCUUUCUCCUUACAAAAAGCGAGCGAUUCGUUCCUUUCGGAUUCUGUCAACUGCGAUUUUUAAAAGAGAAAAAAUUCGGAAAAUUUAAAUGCGAAGGAAUUUACUUUACAGGAUAAAUAGUUUAUUGGAGAAUAUUUCUUAUAUUUUAUAAUUUAGAGGACGAGUGAGAUUAUAGAAUAGGAUUUUUCAAAAUUUAAGGAAAUGAAUUUUAACACGAUCGUUACGAUAUAAAUAAUUAUACAAUAAUCCUUGAAAAAUGAUAUAGGAAAAAAGGAAUAUUUUAUCACGAAUUCCAUUCCAAAAGGAGGGCAACAUCGCGUUGCAAAAUCUUGAUCAUUCCAUGCUUAAUCAAUUGGACUAAUGAACUGUCUCGACUUGAUAAAUAACCACGCUAAAUGUUUCAAUGAGAGAAUUUCGACAAAGAUGACCGAGAUGAUCUAAUGGUAAUUGAUUAAAAAUUAUACUUUUAAUAGAAACAUAAAGGAGAAAAAAAAUUUGCGAUCAAUUAAUCGUCCGAUAAUCAAGUCAUUUUGAAAAGAUAAAUUGAUUAAAUUAUCGUGAGGGAGUAAUAACGUGAGUGAAAAUAAGACAGGAAUAGGAAUAGAAGAAGAAAGAGAAAGAGAGAGAGAGAGAGAGAAAAGAAGUUCCAAUUUUUUUCUUUUUUCCUCUUUUUCAAAAAGGUAUAAUUAUUCUUUUUGCGAAUGAACGAACGAAGCUGCGCCCACAACGAACAGGCGAUGACAGAUGUUGCAGCCGCAUUAGAUAAUUAAUCUGAUGGGAGGGAGGGAAGGAUACGCCGAAUGACGGGGCGUGGAGGGACGAUUAUCGAGCUCGUUUAGUUUUAUUAGAUGCCUAACCUCUCCACUUCUUGCUGCCCUUUUUCACCCCCGUGAUUUCUAUCUGGUCUGGAUCAACGGAUAUCUAAAUCUAUAUAUAUAUAUAUAGUGAGACAUAGAGAUCCUGUGAAAGCAACAACGAUCCCGCAAACUUCCUUCUGAGAUCGAUUCCAGGAAAGCCAAUUAGAGGAAGAAGUCGGUGAUCGAUCAGCACGUGAAGAGGGUGAAAGUAAAAAGAAAAAAGGAAAGAGAGAGAGAGAGAGAGA